CCUACGGAGGCAGCAGUGGGGAAUAUUGGACAAUGGGCGCAAGCCUGAUCCAGCCAUGCCGCGUGAGUGAAGAAGGCCCUAGGGUUGUAAAGCUCUUUCAGCGGGGAAGCGGUACCCGCAGAAGAAGCCCCGGCUAACUUCGUGCCAGCAGCCGCGGUAAUACGAAGGGGGCUAGCGUUGUUCGGAUUUACUGGGCGUAAAGCGCGCGUAGGCGGAUUGUUAAGUCAGGGGUGAAAUGCCGAGGCUCAACCUCGGAACUGCCUUUGAUACUGGCAAUCUGGAGUUCGGGAGAGGUGAGUGGAAUUCCGAGUGUAGAGGUGAAAUUCGUAGAUAUUCGGAGGAACACCAGAAGCGAAGGCGGCUCACUGGCCCGAACUGACGCUGAGGCGCGAAAGCGUGGGGAGCAAACAGGAUUAGAUACCCUUGUAGUC
rnacentral:rRNA from 1 species